GCAGCGGCCGCCUGCUGCUCUUUGUGGCAGUCGCAGUCCUUUUGUGGGAGUCCGGUCUGUCCACUUGCCGGUCCCUCAGACCGUCGGCGGUCUCUGUCCGCUUCGGGACCUGUCCGCUGGUCGCUCCGCGUCCGAUGGCUCCUGGCCGCGGAACCUUAGGCCUGGCCCUGGUCUCCGAGCGCGGGUUCGCCGGGAGGAGCGUGUGGCGGGGGUGUGCCGGGGCGUGAGUGCGCCGAGCAUGGGGCUGAGCCUGGUGUGGGGAGUGGGUAUCUGCGGAGCCGGCCUGAACCCCACCUCAGCCGGGCGCGGGGAGGGGGCUCCGUGCGUGUGAUCGUGCAGCUGUGAGCGCGUGGCCGCCCCGCGGGGCUCCGCUGCAGGCCCCUCAGCCCCAGGAGCAGUACUCGCUCUUCAGGGCCUGCCCUGGAUCCUGGAGGCUACACAGCUGCCCACUCCUCCUGGGGAGGCUGCCGUGGAGGCCAUGGAGAUCCCUGCCCCGGAGCCCGAGAAGACAGCUCUUUCCUCUCAGGAUCCUGCUCUUUCCCUGAAAGAGAAUCUCGAGGAUAUAUCGGGUUGGGGUCUUCCCGAAGCCAGGUCCAAGAGUUUGGCUCUUGUCACCCAGGCUGGAGUGCAGUGGCGCAAUCUUGGCUCACUGCAACCUCCACCUCUUGGGUUCAAGCAAUUCUCCUGACCUCAGGAAUCGGUGAGUUUCAAGGAUGUGGCUGUGGACUUCACCCAGGAGGAGUGGGGUCAACUAGACUCCCCUCAGAGGGCCUUGUACCGGGAUGUGAUGUUGGAGAACUACCAGAACCUUCUUGCCCUAGGACCUCCACUGCACAAGCCAGAUGUGAUCUCUCAUCUGGAACGAGGCGAGGAGCCAUGGAGCAUGCAGAGGGAAGUCCCCAGAGGGCCCUGUCCAGAAUGGGAGCUGAAGGCGGUGCCCUCUCAACAGCAGGGCAUUUGCAAAGAAGAACCGGCCCAGGAGCCCAUCAUGGAGCGGCCCCUCGGCGGGGCGCAGGCGUGGGGGCGCCAGGCAGGUGCUCUGCAGAGGAGUCAGGCUGCGCCCUGGGCGCCCGCACCUGCCAUGGUCUGGGACGUCCCUGUAGAGGAAUUCCCCCUCAGGUGUCCCCUCUUCGCCCAGCAACGCGUUCCCGAGGGGGGACCCUUGCUGGACACACGCAAGAACGUCCAGGCCACUGAGGGCAGAACCAAGGCCCCCGCGAGACUGUGUGCAGGGGAAAACGCCUCCACGCCAAGUGAGCCAGAAAAGUUCCCCCAGGUGCGCCGGCAGCGCGGGGCGGGCGCCGGGGAGGGCGAGUUCGUGUGCGGCGAGUGCGGGAAGGCGUUCCGCCAGAGCUCCUCCCUCACGCUGCACCGGCGCUGGCACAGCCGGGAGAAGGCUUACAAGUGCGAUGAAUGCGGCAAGGCCUUCACCUGGAGCACCAACCUUCUGGAGCACCGGCGCAUCCACACCGGCGAGAAGCCCUUCUUCUGCGGCGAGUGCGGGAAGGCCUUCAGCUGCCACUCGUCCCUCAACGUGCACCAGCGCAUCCACACGGGCGAGCGGCCCUACAAGUGCAGCGCCUGCGAGAAGGCCUUCAGCUGCAGCUCGCUGCUCAGCAUGCACCUGCGGGUGCACACCGGCGAGAAGCCCUACCGGUGCGGCGAGUGCGGCAAGGCCUUCAACCAGCGUACACACCUCACACGCCACCACCGCAUCCACACGGGCGAGAAGCCCUACCAGUGCGGCUCCUGCGGCAAGGCCUUCACCUGCCACUCAUCCCUCACCGUGCAUGAGAAGAUCCACAGCGGGGACAAGCCGUUCAAGUGCAGCGACUGCGAGAAGGCCUUCAACAGCCGCUCGCGCCUCACCCUCCACCAGAGGACGCACACGGGCGAGAAGCCCUUCAAGUGCGCCGACUGCGGGAAGGGCUUCAGCUGCCACGCGUACCUGCUCGUGCACCGGCGCAUCCACAGCGGCGAGAAGCCCUUCAAGUGCAACGAGUGCGGCAAAGCCUUCAGCUCCCACGCCUACCUCAUCGUGCACCGGCGCAUCCACACAGGCGAGAAGCCCUUCGACUGCAGCCAGUGUUGGAAGGCCUUCAGCUGCCACUCGUCCCUCAUCGUGCACCAGCGCAUCCACACCGGUGAGAAGCCCUACAAGUGCAGCGAGUGCGGCAGAGCCUUCAGCCAGAACCACUGUCUCAUUAAACAUCAGAAAAUCCACUCCGGGGAGAAGUCGUUUAAGUGUGAGAAAUGUGGGGAGAUGUUCAACUGGAGCUCGCACCUCACUGAGCACCAGAGGCUGCACAGCGAGGGGAAGCCCUUGGCCAUCCAGUUCAACAAACACCUGCUCAGCACAUACUACGUGCCUGGCAGCCUGCUGGGUGCAGGGGAUGCUGGACUGAGGGACGUGGAUCCCAUCGACGCGCUGGAUGUGGCAAAGCUCUUGUGCGUGGUUCCCCCCAGAGCUGGCAGGAAUUUCUCCCUGGGGAGCAAACCUCGAAACUAACAUGAUGUGCUUUGGUGUCAGUAGCUGCUUUCUGAGCUACUCAACAAGGAAAGCACCCUGGUCCUCCCUGGCUCCUAGAUCCAGACCACCUUCCUCCAGGUGUGGGAGCCUUGCCUUAUCACCCCCAUCAGGUCUGCAUGCCAGGGUGCCUCCUCUAGUUAAAGUCAGUCACCUCCCCAGAAGGGCCACACUCCAGGAGGAGUGUUGAGAGUCAUUUGAGGUAGUCUUGCCACCUGUUUUCCUUGAUGGGCCUGGAAGUUGUUGACAAGGGGAAAGAUCUUUCUUGCCAAUAAAAAGAAGGGAUAUCGUUGGGUGCCAUGGCUCACACCUGUAAUCUUAACACUGUGGGAGGCCAAGGCAAGGGGAUCACUUGAGCCCAGGAGUCUAGGACCAGCCUGGACAACAUGGUGAGACCUCGUCUCUACAAAAAAUGCAAAAAUUAGCCAGAUGUGGCGGCAUGUCCCUGUGGUCCCAGCUACUCAGGAGGCUGAGGUGGGAGGAUCAUUUGAGCCUAGGAGGUCAAGGCUGCAGUGAGCCAUGAUUCACAGCACUGCACUGCAGCCUGGGUGACAAAGCAAGACCCUGUGUGAAAUUAAAAGGAGGUAUAUCAACUGUUGUAUCCUCGGACGGGCUCCUGACACGGCUUUAAUCAGGAGUUUCCUCCAUAAACUAUUAUUUUCAGAAUAAUAAUAAAACAAGAAUUAUGACUAGCAUCACUUUCCAGUGAACAUUAUUAUAUUGCUAGAGAGGAGAAUAAUCUUGGGUGGUGGGCAUUUGGAAAAAGUGAAUUUCCUGGACUUAACUCAUGUAAAUAGCUCUACUGCAGAGCUGUGUGUUUAGUGACAGUGCAGUCAGGGGCAUUCCCACAGCUGUCACAGCACGGCCCAGCAUCAUUGUAGCCAGAUCCUAACAUGCCAACAUCACCUCUUGCCAUUUAGCCCCUAGUGAGAAAUUGGGAGCUACCAGGCAGGUGCCCAGUGCAUUCAGGGAAGAUGGGCACAACAUCAGGAUGGGUGUGUCUGGAAGCUCCUCUUCACUGACCAGGGCUGGGCAGGGCCACCCUGGGCUGGUGAGGCUGCCCUGCAGGGCUUCUCACUAUGUAGCACCAGUCACCAGCCCAGGUCACAGAAGAAGCCCCUCCCAGCACCCACUGGAGAGGGGAAGCUGAAGCCCAGGGAGACGGGCUCCAUGGUGGUCCCACAUGGAGCUGUUUUGCAAACCCUGGAAAAGGCGGCUCUCCCUGUCCCAACACUCUUCAGAGACAGGAAGACAGAGUUAAUCUUGAAUGAAUGUUAUUUCUACUUAGUCCUAAGCAAGAAUAAGCUGCCCUCUUGGUGAUCAUACUUUAUACGGAGUGCUAUCGUUUAUGAAAUGCUUUCAGUAUGCUUUUUAAAUUAUGCAGGCAAAAUAACCACACUUCAGAAAAUGUGGACUUCUGAAAAAUAAAAUCCCCAUAAUUCUUAAUAAAACUGCCUUUUGCACUUUGA